rnacentral:ncRNA from 1 species
AGGAGCGUAGUGAUAGGAAACUAUCACGCUACGUUUUGGAGAGCAGUGGAAGGGGCGACCCUUUCACUGACUUUAC